ensembl:Mt_tRNA
CAAAGAAUAGUUUAGAUUAGAAUCCUAGCUUUGGGAGUUAGGGGUGGAGGUUAAAAUCCUUUUUCUUUGA